GGUGGUUUGCGGGUGACGCACCCCAGAAUCGGGCUCCCUCCUCUCUUGUUUGGGGUGUGUCACCCGAGAAAUGCA
rfam:Myotis brandtii contig195295, whole genome shotgun sequence.